rnacentral:rRNA from 1 species
GAUGAACGCUGGCGGCGUGCCUAAUACAUGCAAGUCGAGCGAACGGACGAGAAGCUUGCUUCUCUGAUGUUAGCGGCGGACGGGUGAGUAACACGUGGAUAACCUACCUAUAAGACUGGGAUAACUUCGGGAAACCGUAGCUAAUACCGGAUAAUAUUUUGAACCGCAUGGUUCAAAAGUGAAAGACGGUCUUGCUGUCACUUAUAGAUGGAUCCGCGCUGCAUUAGCUAGUUGGUAAGGUAACGGCUUACCAAGGCAACGAUGCAUAGCCGACCUGAGAGGGUGAUCGGCCACAUUGGAACUGAGACACGGUCCAGACUCCUACGGGAGGCAGCAGUAGGGAAUCUUCCGCAAUGGGCGAAAGCCUGACGGAGCAACGCCGCGUGAGUGAUGAAGGUCUUCGGAUCGUAAAACUCUGUUAUUAGGGAAGAACAUAUGUGUAAGUAACUGUGCACAUCUUGACGGUACCUAAUCAGAAAGCCACGGCUAACUACGUG